rnacentral:rRNA from 1 species
CAAGCGGUGGAGCAUGUGGUUUAAUUCGAUGCAACGCGAAGAACCUUACCUGGUCUUGACAUCCACAGAAUCUUGCAGAGAUGCGAGAGUGCCUUCGGGAACUGUGAGACAGGUGCUGCAUGGCUGUCGUCAGCUCGUGUUGUGAAAUGUUGGGUUAAGUCCCGCAACGAGCGCAACCCUUAUCCUUUGUUGCCAUUGGUUCGGCCGGGAACUCAAAGGAGACUGCCGUUGAUAAACCGGAGGAAGGUGGGGACGACGUCAAGUCAUCAUGGCCCUUACGACCAGGGCUACACACGUGCUACAAUGGCGUAUACAAAGGGAGGCGACCUCGCGAGAGCAAGCGGACCUCAUAAAGUACGUCUAAGUCCGGAUUGGAGUCUGCAACUCGACUCCAUGAAGUCGGAAUCGCUAGUAAUCGUGAAUCAGAAUGUCACGGUGAAUACGUUCCCGGGCCUUGUACACACC